GGCUUUUGAGGUCUUUUUGAGAUACAAAUUUAGAGAGAUGCCAUGAGGAGGAGACUUAAAAUAGAUUAGGGGAAAUAGAUGAAGAAACAUCACAGGCCUGGCUCGAACCUGUGUCACCCAUGAUGAGGUGAUAGGGCUCAGGGGAACUCUGUGCAGAAACUCUACAUGGCCCAGUAUGGGGAGAAGACAGGAAACUGCCUUUCAUUACAGUAUAGAGGCUUGCACAUGUGGGAGUGAUGUUGGAAUGACUCUUUCUUCCAGUCUGCAGGCAUCGCACCCGUCUACUGGUCUGCUAGGCAAAUCCUCUCCCAUCAAACUGCCUUGGGACCAGGAUUACUGAGAUUUUGAAAAGGAGGGUGACGGUGGCCUUCCCCCAAGAUGCUUCAUCAUGGGUCUCGCCGGGCUCUCGCUCUUUCAGGCCGACGUUUAACUGCCACGC
ensembl:lncRNA